rnacentral:lncRNA from 1 species
UCUAUGUGUACCCCCCUACGAAAAUAGUGAGUUUUCGGUAAAUGCUCUAUAUAUGAAGCCUAUAAUCUUUUAAUUCGUUUUAAAAUUUAUAACCACAUUACACAUUUGUAUUAAUUUAUGAUAAACUCAUUUUCAUGGUACAUGGACCUUGUUCUAAUUUUUUAUCAAUUAAUUUAGCAAAACUGUAAAUACUCCUUAAAUCAUUGGACUAACAGCUAUAAAAUUGCUAUUCCUUAGAGAAACGGAGACAACAAUGAUUCCAAACCUCGUUGAACUUCAUAAUAUUUUAUUACAUGAUUCAAAAAUGUAUUAAAACAGUAUUGUCAAAUUUUUUGAAUUUUUCUCAAAAUCAAUGUGUACCCCCCUACGAAAAUAGUGAGUUUUCAGUAAAUGCUCUAUAUAUGAAGCCUAUAAUCUUUAAAUUUGUUUUAAAAUUUAAAACCACAUUAUACCUUUGUAUUAAUGUAUGAUAAACUUCUUUUCAUGGUACAUGUACAUCGUUCUAAAUUUUUAUCCAUUAAUUUAGCAAAACUGCAAAUACUCCCUAAAUCAUUGGACUAACCACUAUAAAAUUGCUAUUCCCUAGAGAAACGGAGACAACAAAAGUUCCAAACCUC